CAAGCAGUUAAGCAAAUUAAAUCACAACUCAGAAAUCACAACUGAAGGUAAUCAAUUCAUAUUACAAAUAUAUUCAUGGUUUCGAAUUAACCUCUAGCCAAAAUAAAAUUAAUUACACAUUAUUAAAACAAAAAUAAAAUAGGAGUUUGGAAAGAUUAAACCGAAAGAAAGGAUCUGCUGCUUGGACUCUGAACUGCAUGGACUCUGAACUGCAUUUUCAUGCUGACCUCCUGUCCUCCUCGCCACUGACUUCCUUUCCUCAAGCUGCCCAAUGGCAGCACUCUCCUCUCGGUCCUCUUCCUGCGUCUCUGCGAGCUGCCCAAAGGGCAGCUCCCUUCUCUCGCUCCCGAGGCCCCCCUUCAAAAUCGCUGCAAGGUGCAGCUUUUAUUGUUAUCCUCCUUUGUUUUUCCACCGAGCCUUUUUUUUAUGAAUUUCUCAAACUGCCCAGGCAGCUUCCAUUAUUCCCUCUUUUUCCGUAUGCUCUCUCAGCUUCUCCCACUCUUGCACGCUGCAAAGCACUUGUAUAAUAUAUUUUUCUUCUUUUUCAUUCUUUUGUUUUCUUUUGUUCCACCCACAAGAUUCCUCACUGCCUAAGGCAGUGCAUGGUUCCUCUUUUUCUUCCUGUGCUGCGCAAGCAGCUAACUUAUAUUUUAUUUUUCUGCUUUCUGCUUCACCUACCGCACAAGGCUUAGUGCUCUUCAUUUCUUUUUAUUCUUUUUUUUUUUCCACGCCAGGUAGCUUCUUUUUGCUCUCCACCUCACGCUGCACAGGCACUUGUUAUUUUCUUUUCUUCCAAAAGAAACAAAUUUUAGUGCAGAAGACAAUAAAAAUACAUGAGUAGACAAGAUGGCCACAACUUGGACGGCAAUAGUAAAAGAAAAAAUCAUAGAAUUAAUAUUCUAAGGCACUACAACAUAAAUAGACCAUACAAUUAAAAUUGUAACAGCCAACUCAUGACAGAAUGAGAACGACUAAAGCAAUUUUCGACGAAUUUAUUAUUUAAAACUCAUUUGUGCCAUUUUUAUUUUCUUUGCAUAACAAAUCCUAUAAACAUAAAAAAAUAACGUAAAUAGCUCAAAAAUAUAAGGAACUAACUAAGAAAAGACGAGUGAAUUUGAAGUAAAAAUAUAUAUAUAUAUGAUCCUAUCAAAUACCCCCAUACUUAGCUUUUGCUAGUCCUCGAGCAAAACAAAGAAAACAUGAAAAAGUACUAACAUGAAAAACAUUAGUUUCCCCCUAUGCGACCCUCAUAGAAUUUGAGAACACAAAUCAUCAAGAACCAUAGCUAGCACCAAACAAGUUAAUUCAAGUUCAUCUUCCUUAUUCAAAUAUUAGCUGUAAUCUUUAAAUCAUCCUUGAAGUGUAGUGUGUGAGAUAGCCAUGCUAAUGCAAUUUCAAGUUUUUAUUUUUAAAAUCAUCAUAUGCAAACUAGCGACCUUCUCACUGGAUAUGCACUCAAUCACACAUGUGUUUAGUUUUAAUGUGUUUCGCUCAAAGAAUCAAAUGUGAAAUUUCUACUAUAAGCUUGCAUAAAGAUCACUUCUCCACAGUCAUAAUUGCAAAACUUAAAUCAAGAGGACUUUUAUUGGAUGUAAUGAGGUUUAGGGAUAGGGUUAUUGAAACGAAAGAAUAGGAAAACACAAGUUCCAAGCUACAUUGCAAGCAAUUCUUUUCUUUAGAUUUAUAAGAACUCAAGCUCUCCAACGAUUCUUCAGACAUCUCCAACCACAACCUUAAACUGAAACUUUAAAAACUUUUAUUUCUUUGUAUACAAUCUUUCUUUUUCUUUUUUUUUUCUUUUUUUUUUUUUUGAAAUACAAACAUGAAAUACCCCCACACUUAUUCUUUUGCCAAACACCUUCACAGUACUUAACAAACGUUUCUCAUAAGACAAUCUCGCAUUGCUCGCUUGGAAAAGGGUAAGGAAAAAAUGUUUCAGGUAUAAGGGUAGACAUAUCUGGUGAUAAGAAACAAAAGGUUCAACAUAUACGGCUCAAAUUGGCAAUCUAAUGAUAUCAUUUUUCUUUGGGAAACAUGGUUAUUUGGGCCAUGGUGGUAAACCUAAUGCCUCCAUCAUUUCCAAGUUCAUGCAAUCAAUGACAAACAUUUCGAAAGAUCGUUACGCAAGUUCUAGAGAUGUAUCUCACAUAAGUUCAUCACACAUGAAAGAAUAGGAGUGUAUGAAAAAUGCACACACUUUCAAUAGGCUCAAAAACUCACAUAGGAUGUAUAUGGUCACUAAAUUCACAUAUGAAGCUUUAAGUCAUGCUUUAGUUUCACAUCAACAAGGCUAUGUGCAUUUGGUUUUUCAAAGAUGAUCAAACAUGUACAAAACUAAUACGAGAAUUAGGAAUUUCACAAAACACAUGUUAACUAAGUUCUUGAUGAUCAUGGUUCAAAUUUUACCCAAUUAUAUCAUUGGGUCGGGAAACUAACAAAAAUCUAAUUCAAAACAAUAAGGAAAACAAGACAAUAUUUUUGGAUUUUUAAAUUUUCCGAUUUUUUUUUUUUUUAUAGAGAAAACAAAACUAAAAAAUAAAAAGCAACAACACAGAAACAAAUGAAACCAGUUCGAAGUUGAAGGUACAAAAAAUUUCAAUUUGGUCAUUUUUACCCUUUACCCCCAUACUUAAACUGGACAUUGUCCCCAAUGUCAGAAAACACUAUAAUGCAAAAAUAAAUAAAAUAAACAAAAUAAUAAAAAACAAAAUAAAGCAAUUGGACUGAAAACUUCCCUAAUUUGCAGUAAAAUCAAGCGAUGACCCCCCAAGCUAAAAUUCUGCAAUCAACUUCAAGGGUGGAAAUAACCAAAAGUUCCUGCAAAGAAAAGAAAUAAUUCAGUUAAGGACGCAAGAUAAUGUAGAAAAAUGCAAACGAAAAAUUGAAAAUGAAAAUAAAAGAUAAUGAAUAGAACUAAUAGGUGAUCAUUGGUCGCUUGUUGACUUUCCACAGCUUUCCUCUUGAACUGAUUUGGAAUUCUGAGCGAGGAUUGCACAGUCUGCAUUCUUCUCUGCUUGUUUCCUCUGCAUGGCGGGCAGGCACAAGGUAGCUGUUUUGGUCUGAUUCUUUCUUCAAUCUUUCCAAGUGCCCACCUCUUGCUUUCUUUCUCCUUGUCCCUAGAUGAAUUGUCUCCACAUGCUUCGAGGUAUCAUUUUCACUUCCCUUACUGUCCCCCAGGUAGAUGUGGUAGACAAAGAGGAAGCACAAGAUGAUGAAGAUGAGUACUUGAGAGCAAGGCUAGGUAAGCAAUCAGGAAGGGGUUCCAGGCAGUUGGCUCCAGAUCGGAAGAUUGAUACCAAAUGCUGGCUGAUUGCUCUCCUUCUCCUUGUCGGAAAACAAAGACAAGGAGAAGGACAUGGAGAAAGCAUGAUAUGAGAUACUCUUGCUUUCAACCUUUAUGAUAUGAAAUACUUUUGCUUUGAAUGGGUUGUUCGCAGGAGUAUCCCAAGGAAUGAGGAACACAGAGUGACUCGAGAGGAUUCUUUGGGAAUGCAUUUUCGGAGAUGAAGAAGAGUUGAGAGGGUGUGCUGAGAGAGUGUGCUUUUGCUGUGGAAGGCGAAGGUAGAAACUUAUAGGACUUGUCUUCACAACCGGAACUGUUCUCUCACUCAUUGUCGGCAGCCGGUGGAUGGAUGAAUAGUACAAAUUACGCGCUUUCUGACAAAGCUGCCCGUAAUUUCCGCAAAGCUGCCAGUUGCAUGUGACAAGUGCUGACUAGGCUAAGAGAGACAGAUGGUUGGAAUCGGCACUUCGACAGACUGCCCGUGAUUUUCGCAGAGCUGCCAGUUGCAUGUGACGGGUGACAACACGUCUGGACGAAUUGAUCUUGCGAAAUCCGGGGUUCGGCUCGUGGUUUCUGAGCAAGCCCAACUUUUAAGAAAUGAACGCCUCUUUUGAGAAAAGAAUCCGGCUUUUGAGAAAGGUGCCCGACUCUUCGAUUUGCGAGAGGACGCCUCUUCAAUUUCUGAGGAGCGCCUCUUUGAAUUCUUCUUUUUAUAGAGGCGUUAAUUUUGUUCCACAACAUACUUGAGCUCCCUCUUGUAAACACUCCCUUCUUGCACUUGUUUAAUCUUGAUCAGUCCGACUCUUCUUUCUCAACACCUUCAGAAAAUGGCAGGCCCUUCUGAUCGACGUUUUGACUUGAACAUUCGUGAAGAGGCAGCUCCUCCUUCACCAGACAACAUAUGACGCCCUUCUUUCAUAUCCCCCACUGGUCCCCUUACCGUUGGGGCUUCGGUGAUGAAGAACGAUAUGACAGCAGCGGUGGUGGCCCGGAACAUUGUCACUCCUAAAGAUAACAGACUGCUCGCUAGACGGUCUGAUGAAUUGGCGGUUAAGGAGUCUCUGGCUCUCAGUGUGCAGUGUACUGGUUCCGUAUCCAACAUGGCCCAACGCCUAUAUGCCCGAACCCGUCACGUUGAAUCCUUGGUGGCUGAAAUACAGAGUCUCAAGCAAGAGAUUAAAGGGCUCAAGCAUGAGAAUAAGGAAUUGCACAAGCUCGCACACAGCUAUGCCACCAGCAUGAAGAGGAAGAUUGACCAGAUGCAGGACACCGAUGGUCAAAUUUUACUUGAUCAUCGGAGGUUUGUGGGUUUGUUCCAACAACAUCUGCCUUCGUCUUCUGGAGCGGCACCGCGUAGUGAAGCUCCAACUGAUCAACCUCUGCCGCCUCCUCCUUCUGUGGCCCCGCCGACUGCUGAAGCCCCGCCAACUACUGAAGCACCACCGGACCAAUGAAUACUAUUAGUUUACAUCAUUGUAAAAUAUUUGUAUUAUUAUUUUUUAUUAUUAUUAUUAUUAUUUUUUUUUGUAUUAUUAUUAUUAUUAUUUUUGUUUUUUAUCAUUAAUUUUAAAUUUUAUCUUUUUAUUUUUAUUUUUAUUUUUAUUUUAUAUGUAAAUUAAUGUAAAGAGACUUUGGUUAACCCUCCCCCACACUUAAACUAAAUAACACAAACUUACAGAAAUCAACCAAAUAACACAACUAACUAAACAAAACAAAAUGAAAGCAAUAAAGAUAAGGGUGGAAGAAUGCAAAGCUGAUUGGGUUAGCGAUUCCAAAGUCUCCCUUCGUUGAAUGUUUGGGUUGCCUCCCAAGAAGCGCUUGAUUUAACGUCUUUAGCCGGACGCAUCUUUCCUUUAAAUUUCCCUCGGCUCCAUUUGAACCUAAAAUCAAAGAAAGAAAAAUAAAUCAAAUAUCAAAAGUAAAAUACACAAACGCCAAUAUAAACAUAAACAAAAAACAAAAAUAAAAGGAUUAGCAAAGUUACUAAUCCCCGGCAACGGCGCCAAAAUUUGAUGUGAGAAUUACUUGACACACAAAUUAAACCCUCUUUUUGACAAUUGUAGUAUAGAUGUAAGUAGGGUAUCGUUCUAGGCCGGGGAUUAGGAGGGAUUGCUAAUCUAUUCUAAAUUAAUUUAAAAAUAUUAAAUAAGACUCAAGGACACAAAACUAGGCUAAAAACUCUAAUAACUCGAAACACACUUAAAAUGACUCAAAAUAAUGAAAACAAUUAAAUUAAACACUAGGAACUGAAAUGGACGAAAAUUAAAUUAAAAGACUAACAAUAAAGAAAACUAACUAAAUAAUAUAAUUUAAUAAUGGAUGGGUGUUUGGUUUUGAUGAAAAGUAAAUUAAACUUAAUUAAAUUACAGAAUUGACAAAAAAACAUAAAAUUAAGGUGAAAGGAUAAAUGACGGACUAGCUAGAGGGUUCUUCUCCACACAUGACACAUAUGCAACCUAAAUUGAUUUUCAGUUGUUCUUUCAAUAAAUUGUAAAUCUCAACGCCCCAAAUUAACCGUGAAUUGCACUAAUUAACCCUCAGUUUUUCCACAAGUUAUUGGGUUGGAUGAUUGCAUACGACAACCCAAAACAUUCCCUACAAGUUCCCUACAUGAAUUGCAUAAUAGAGAUACAAGCAAGAAUCAUUGAAAAACAUAAGUAUUGACGAGGCACUCGUUACUAUGAUUUGCAUGAAACUUAUGCCAAGAAUUUACUUAACGUGAUUGUGACUAGCAACCUUCACUACUUGUGAAUAUAAGUUCAUAACGAUUAGGUGAAAUUCACUUAUAUCUAGCAUCAAAUUCAUGCAUGUAAAUUAAGUAUGCAUCCUUAAUCGACAUACAAAAAUAAGUUAUCUAUCAAGCAGUUAAGCAAAUUAAAUCACAACUCAGAAAUCACAACUGAAGGUAAUCAAUUCAUAUUACAAAUAUAUUCAUGGUUUCGAAUUAACCUCUAGCCAAAAUAAAAUUAAUUACACAUUAUUAAAACAAAAAUAAAAUAGGAGUUUGGAAAGAUUAAACCGAAAGAAAGGAUCUGCUGCUUGGACUCUGAACUGCAUGGACUAUGAACUGCAUUUUCAUGCUGACCUCCUGUCCUCCUCGCCACUGACUUCCUUUCCUCAAGCUGCCCAAUGGCAGCACUCUCCUCUCGGUCCUCUUCCUGCGUCUCUGCGAGCUGCCCAAAGGGCAGCUCCCUUCUCUCGCUCCCGAGGCCCCCCCUUCAAAAUCGCUGCAAGGUGCAGCUUUUAUUGUUAUCCUCCUUUGUUUUUCCACCGAGCCUUUUUUUUAUGAAUUUCUCAAACUGCCCAGGCAGCUUCCAUUAUUCCCUCUUUUUCCGUAUGCUCUCUCAGCUUCUCCCACUCUUGCACGCUGCAAAGCACUUGUAUAAUAUAUUUUUCUUCUUUUUCAUUCUUUUGUUUUCUUUUGUUCCACCCACAAGAUUCCUCACUGCCUAAGGCAGUGCAUGGUUCCUCUUUUUCUUCCUGUGCUGCGCAAGCAGCUAACUUAUAUUUUAUUU
rnacentral:lncRNA from 1 species